AGAGUUUGAUCCUGGCUCAGGAUGAACGCUGGCGGCGUGCUUAACACAUGCAAGUCGAACGAUCCUUCGGGAUAGUGGCGGACGGGUGAGUAACGCGUGGGAAUCUGCCCUCAGGAGGGGGAUAACGGCUGGAAACGGCCGCUAAUACCCCAUAUGCCGAGAGGUGAAACGAAUUUCGCCUGAGGAUGAGCCCGCGUCUGAUUAGCUAGUUGGUGGGGUAAAGGCCCACCAAGGCGACGAUCAGUAGCUGGUCUGAGAGGAUGAUCAGCCACACUGGGACUGAGACACGGCCCAGACUCCUACGGGAGGCAGCAGUGGGGAAUUUUCCGCAAUGGGCGAAAGCCUGACGGAGCAACGCCGCGUGAGGGAUGAAGGCCUCUGGGCUGUAAACCUCUUUUCUCAAGGAAGAAGACCUGACGGUACUUGAGGAAUAAGCCACGGCUAAUUCCGUGCCAGCAGCCGCGGUAAUACGGGAGUGGCAAGCGUUAUCCGGAAUUAUUGGGCGUAAAGCGUCCGCAGGCGGCCUUGUAAGUCUGUUGUUAAAGCGUGGAGCUUAACUCCAUUUAAGCAAUGGAAACUACAAGGCUGGAGUGUGGUAGGGGCAGAGGGAAUUCCCGGUGUAGCGGUGAAAUGCGUAGAUAUCGGGAAGAACACCAGUGGCGAAGGCGCUCUGCUGGGCCAUAACUGACGCUCAUGGACGAAAGCCAGGGGAGCGAAAGGGAUUAGAUACCCCUGUAGUCCUGGCCGUAAACGAUGAACACUAGGUGUCGGGGGAAUCGACCCCCUCGGUGUCGUAGCCAACGCGUUAAGUGUUCCGCCUGGGGAGUACGCACGCAAGUGUGAAACUCAAAGGAAUUGACGGGGGCCCGCACAAGCGGUGGAGUAUGUGGUUUAAUUCGAUGCAACGCGAAGAACCUUACCAGGGUUUGACAUCCUGCGAACCCCUGAGAAAUCGGGGGGUGCCUUCGGGAGCGCAGAGACAGGUGGUGCAUGGCUGUCGUCAGCUCGUGUCGUGAGAUGUUGGGUUAAGUCCCGCAACGAGCGCAACCCACGUCUUUAGUUGCCAGCAUUCAGUUGGGCACUCUAGAGAGACCGCCGGUGAUAAACCGGAGGAAGGUGUGGAUGACGUCAAGUCAUCAUGCCCCUUACAUCCUGGGCUACACACGUACUACAAUGCUACGGACAAAGGGCAGCAAGCUCGCGAGAGUUAGCAAAUCCCAUAAACCGUGGCUCAGUUCAGAUCGUAGGCUGCAACUCGCCUACGUGAAGGAGGAAUCGCUAGUAAUCGCAGGUCAGCAUACUGCGGUGAAUACGUUCCCGGGCCUUGUACACACCGCCCGUCACACCAUGGAAGUUGGCCAUGCCCGAAGUCGUUACUCCAACCCUUGUGGAGGAGGACGCCGAAGGUGGGGCUGAUGACUGGGGUGAAGUCGAAACAAGGUA
rnacentral:rRNA from 1 species